rnacentral:ncRNA from 1 species
AUAUUAGACGAAAUUGGGAACGGGCCCCAAUAAUAGUUAUUAGAUUUUUAAUAUAAAACGUUAAUGGUUCGUCGUGUACGAUCCUCUGCGAGUUGUUUAUCUUCACAGCAGAUUACGUAAGUAAGAGUUUGGAGCAUUUAUAAAAUGGGCCAACAUUUUGUUAGUAUU